UGGGCUGCCAGCUGCCCCCGCAGGCCCCAUGAUGCAGCCCUGCCCAAGGUGAGAUGAACUCAUCUUGAGAGAGCUGACUGGCACGGGCAUGCUCUGCUGGCCAGAGAACAGGCAGGUGUCCCCGUCCCAUUCCCGUCUUCCUCACUUCUCAUGCCCAACGAAGUGCAGCAAGCUCUGACGGAUAUCCUGUCUGCUUUCCCUUUGAGCCUAGUCUCUCUCUCUCUCUCUCUCUCUCUCUGGCUCCUGUGUGCUUGCUCGCUUUCUUUUUUCCCAGCCCCAUCACUUAUUCAUGGAACAGGUUCAACUCCCAGCACUGAUGUCUGGAAACGACGCGUGGACACAGAAGUGACAGUGGGUGGUUUCGAGAGUGGCCAGCGUGGAUAAUGGCAGCCGGGCGAUGGAGCUGCACAACAAAAAAGAGAGCCAGAACAAAGCCAGACAAUUACAGUCAGAAAGAUCUCAUCGCUUUGGGGCAAGGUGGACAGCACAGAGCCACGCUCAUCUUACACGGCUCUCACACAGACUGGCAAAAGGCAUCCAGCCCGUGAGGAGCCUCUGAGAGGUAACAGGAUGGGGAAUUCCAAACAAAGAGACAGGCAAACAACGAGGUGCUGGACGCUCCAUUAUGGCCUUGUUUGCUCCUUGUAUGCAGAAUCAUCCAUACAAUAAAAGCGAAAUUAAAAGUUCUCAGAUGUGCGGCACUGUUGGCACAUGCUGCUAGUGUACGCACAUUCUCUCUGCCCCCGGAUGGAUUGAAGAUACCACGUUCACAUGGGAGUGAAGGCCAGAGAGCAGAAAACGUGAGAGGAUGCCUUCUGCCUAUCGAUGAGGUGCAGAUGUUUUCAAUAGCAUUAGCUGCUGUUGUACAAUGCAUUUUAAAAUGCUUAAGCUUCUAUAUAUGUGUCACAAAAUGGGGUAAUCACUUAAAUAAAUAAUCCUCAUGAUGCUCCAAACCCAUAUGCCAUUUUCAAGAAAGUUUAAAUAUCUUACACUGGAAACUCCUUUCCAUGCAAUUGCUUUUAAGCUUCAAAAGUAUGUAAAUGCUAAUAAAGAAUCAUAAGAUG